rnacentral:rRNA from 1 species
UACGAAGGGGGCUAGCGUUGUUCGGAUUUACUGGGCGUAAAGCGCACGUAGGCGGAUCUUUAAGUCAGGGGUGAAAUCCCGAGGCUCAACCUCGGAACUGCCUUUGAUACUGGGGAUCUCGAGUCCGGGAGAGGUGAGUGGAACUGCGAGUGUAGAGGUGAAAUUCGUAGAUAUUCGGAGGAACACCAGUGGCGAAGGCGGCUCACUGGUCCAUUACUGACGCUGAGAAGCGAAAGCAUGGGGAGCGAACAGG